rnacentral:sRNA from 1 species
GCCGGGCACGGUGGUGCAUGCCUGUAACCCCAGCAGCUCAGGAGGCUGAGGCAGGAGGAUUGUGAGUCCAAAGCCAGCCUCAGCAACUCAGCGAGGCACUGAGCAACUCAGUGAGACCCUGUCUCUA